AUGUCGUUCCCCUUCAACCACUCUCACGCCACCCACACCCACCACCGCAGGGACGACGACGACGACGAACGACCCACCGUUUACCCUCCGCCGGGAAACUCCUUCAGCAACCCGCCACCUCCGUUCUACGGCGUCCCUCAACCACCACCCCCUCAGCCGGAGACCCACGUGUUCCAUUCCGCUCACGUGACACCAGGACACGUGUCCCAUGACUUCAACAACUACUCCGCUCCCCCGCCUCCACCCCCUUCCCACCAUCAUCAUGAUCGUCAUCAUGACUCCUUCACCCACGCUUACCCACCUGCUCCCGCUGCAGCUGAUUACCCCGCUCACGGAGGCAGCAGUACCACCGUGCACCACGUGGCUCACGAGUCUCACCACCACACCCCCCAUUCCGCUUUCUCCUCCCACAACAACGCACCCCCCACCACUGUUCAUCACGUGAGCCACCAGGUUAACACCGGUGGUCUCUCGACCAAACCCACUGUCAGGGUUUUCACCAAAGCUAAUCCCAAUUUCUCUCUCACCAUUCGUCGCGGCCAAGUCAUUCUCGCUCCCUCC
rnacentral:lncRNA from 1 species